UAAAAAUUUAUUAAUAGUUUAGUUUUCCCGAAUUAAGAAGAGCUAAUUAUUUAUAUAUUUUAUUGUUGAAUAAGUAUUUAAAAUAAAUAAUUAGUGAUGAAACGUCAUUCGUUUUUUAAUUUAUCUGGUUUUUUUAGAAAUAAAUUUAAUUUAAUUAAUUUUUAGUAUAAUUUUAUUUAUUUAAGAUUUUAUAUAAAUUAAUAAAUUAUUUAAGGGAUGAGCUUUAAUUAAAAGUUUUAAAAUAUUAUGUUAGUCUAUUGUUAGUAGAAUUAGAAGUGUUCAAUUUUAUAAUGUAAUAAUUAUCAAUAAUUUAAUUUUUUUUAUAUAAUUUUUAAAUUUUUUAUAAAAAUGAAAUAUAUAAUUUUAUAUAUAUUUGUAAUAAUGAUAAAAUUAGUAUAUAUAUUUGUUUAAUUAAUUGAGAAUUUUAGGUUAAUUAAAGGAAUUCGGCAAAUUUAUUUUCUGCCUGUUUAUUAAAAACAUGUCCUGUUAUGACUUUAAUUUCAGGUUUGGCCUGCCCACUGAAAAUUUAAAUGGCUGCGGUAUUUU
rnacentral:rRNA from 1 species